UAAAUUAUAUAUUCAUCAUUUUAUAAAUUUAGACAAUUAUAUAAAGUUUUAUUAUACGAAACGGGGAGAUAGUAUUAUUUAAGUGUUAGCGUACAUAGAUGCAAAGCAAGGUUGUGGUGGCUAUCAACCCUAUCACCAACACAGUAAUGGCUAUGCGGUUAGUUGGUGGAGUCGUGGAGAGAAGAAACUGUGAUCGAAUAACGAGAUAGAAAAGUCAGGACCAAAACCAAAGUGACCCACAAACCAGUCACUGGUCUAUCAAUCACUGUCGG
rnacentral:lncRNA from 1 species